ACACGGAGGGCAGCUGCACAAUGAUCUGCUUUGUGAAUCUGGACCCUCAGAAAACAGACUAUCGCGACGACAAAAGCAUCAAGAAACUGGCAUCGGUGUCUCCAGACCUGCCAAAGAUGGUGGAAUUGCUGACUGUCCACCAGCCCAAAGAAAAUGAGAUCCUACUUCUGGGUGGGCUGGAGGCCUCAGAAACCUGCCAAACAAUCCCCCUCUCCCCCU